rnacentral:ncRNA from 2 species
GUUUAUCUUCAGGGCAGGGUGUAAAUCCCGACCGGCGGUAAUAGUCCGCGACCUCUAGUAAUAGAGUUGAACUGGUGUAACUCCAGUACCGACAGUAUAGUCUGGAUGGAAGAAGAUAGGG